AAAAUCUCCAUGAGUGCUAAUGGCAUAAUGAAUGGGAAGAAACAAUAUAAAAAAAUGAAUACAGUGUUUUUAGUGAAUAUGCCAAUAAUCUACAGAGUCUGUUGUCAUAUCUGGUCUCCCAGUGAAGCCUCCGAAGACAGAGGCACUGGUCUGUCUGUUGGCACGAUGUUUUGAUGAAAGAAAAAGAAACAAAAGAAAGCAACUUUUUUUUUAACCAAGUUUGUAUUAGAAUUUUAUAGCUGCAACAAAAUGCAGAGCACUGAAGUCUAAGUGAAACUUAAGCAGCAAACUGGUACAUUGAAAGUGGCAUCAGUAUUAAAUUCAUCUUCCCUUUAAUGAUCUGGGUUUCAGAUAUUGCUUCCAGGACACAUGCUGAAGACCCCUAACCCUUGUGCAAAUCCUGAAGAUGCAUCCUUGGAAGCAUGCACUUUUUCUGUGAUAGAAAGGGAAAAUGCAGCCUUCUGCUUUACUGGAGUUUGCAAGGACACAGUAUAUUUGCUUAAGAGGGAACUCUACUGGCUACUUUUUGGAAGUUUCUUGCUCCUUCUGCCUGCUGGCUCUGACAUCCCCAUUCCAGAGGAAGUGAAAUGCAGCAUCUCUUCUAAGAGGGAGCGUUGGAGGUGGUGACAUCUGAAGACUGAGGAGCUCAAGGAAAAAGCGGAGGGCAACACUUUUUGGUUUUAUGGUGAUGAGAACAAGCCAUUACAACUGGACCAGACUGUGACAGGAAAGUGUUCUUGUUGUAUCAAAGGCAGCAAGCAGGCUGCCAAAAAAAGAAAAGUCAACAAAGCUGUUCAGAUUACU
ensembl:lncRNA